UUUUUGAAAAGUUUAAAUUGGUUGAAAUUUUUAGAGCGUUACAAGUUGGUAUCAGAGCCUUGGUUUGAGUGAAUUGGAGGAACAUUCGUGUGAAUCCAGUCUCAAAUCAAGGAGAGUUUUCAAAAGAGAAUUUAAAAUGGUUUUCAAAAUGAGUAAAGGAGGAUGCGGAGGUACGAUCAGCCGGAGCCAGUAAGUAACCCCAAAAUACCAUACAUGAUAUUUGUUUUUGAGCUAUGAUAGAACAGCAUGCCAGUUCUAGGCUAGGGAUCUUCAGGAUUUCAUGAUAAUGUUGCCUGAUUUAUGAUGCCUGCUAGCCUAGGUUUUAUUCUGUGGGAGAUUUCCAGUGUUCCUCUAGGAGUGAGGGUUGAGUGAUUGUUAUGUAUGUUUUUCACUAGGGUGUUGCGGUAAUACUUUAUACAAAUAUGGGUAGGUGUGGAAGGUAGUAUGGGGCCGUACUACUGAAAGCACAGGACCCAUACGCGUAUCAAAGAAACCAUGACCUGUAGGGUUGGGUUGGUUCCCAGGUUAGUGGGAAGUAUCUAAGAUCUUGCGGUGUUUUUCAGUAUGGUGGAUACGAGGCAUGCUGGGAGCGGAUCCGGGUCAGGAUCGGGUGCAGGAGAGGGCGGUCAGGGUGGGUCAGUACCGCCCGAGGUUAUUAGUCAGAUGAGCAUGGGCGAGUUGGAUGAUAGGAUUCGUGAGAUCAUGCAUGAUGAGGUUGCUGUGUUGUUCCGGGCCGAGUUGCCGGAACUAUUUGGGUCGAUCAAGACUGCGAUGGUUGAGUAUUUUGAUGAGCGCUAUGCGGCUAUCACAGAGNCGGCUAUAGCAGCAGCAGGGGGAGGAGCCGGUAGAGGUUUUCAGUAUCGGGACUUCGAUAAUACGAAGCCCAUACCUUCGAUGGAGUUCAGGACCAUAUUGUUGCUAUGAGAUGGUUGUCGGACGUGGAGGGGUGUUUCUUCACGUGUUCAUGUCCUGCUGAUCAGUGGGUGAGGUGUGCUCUGAACCUGUUAAGGCUCGGGGCGAAGGAUUGGUGGAGAUUGACCACGGGGUCAUUUUCGGAUGCGCAGAUGGCUGCGGUUUCUUGGGAUCAGUUCCAGGAGAUGUUUAGCACUCGUUAUGUUCUGCGGGUUGAGAGAGAGAGAGAGAGAGAGAGGUUGGCUCAGGAGUUCAUGGAGCUGAAGCAGGAUUCGGAGUCGGUGACGAAGAUCACCAGGAUGUUCACUGAGAGGGCGAUGUUUUGCCCCGAGUUCGCUUCGGAGCAGGCUCAGAUGUCCCGAUAUCUGAGUAUGCUCAUGAGGGAUAUCAGGUAGUUUGUGUCUACGCAGAGGUGUGAGACCUUGUUAGAGUUGCAGGAGGCCGCCAGGCGGCAUGAGUUGGAGAUUGAGUUGCAGUUGAGAGAGCAGAGGCAGGCCCCUGCACAGUCACAACCGGCGCCGAAACGGUCCAAGACCGUUGAUUCUGGAUUGGGAGAUCAGAGCCGCCGCACUUGUGGAAAGUAUGGGAAGGGUCACACUGGAGUUUGUAGGACCGGUGGUGCAUGUCGCAAGUGCGGAAAGGAGGGGCACUAUGCGAGAGAUUGUUGGCAGACAGCCACGGUUCGAGAUUUGAGGAUUUGUUAUCAUUGCCACCAGGUUGGCCACUUGAGGGUCAACUGUCCACAACUUGCUGCAGGACCGGUGUAGGCUCCAACACCGGCCACUUUGAGGAUUACGGGUGGAGGUCAGGGUGGAGCGGAGCCCCCAAGGGCUCAGGGCCGUGCUUUUCAGCUUAUAGCAUAGGAGGUCAGGGCAGUGCCGGAUGCAUCUGCGGGUAUGUUUCUUUCUUGAUAUCUUGUUAUCUUGAGAUUAUUAUGGAGUAUUGUAUAUUUGCUAGUCUCGUUGUGUGAUUUUUGGUAUUGUAUUCGUUGAUUCCUUGAGGGUUAUGGUAUGGUUAUGGGUUUGGUGUUGGGAAUUUCGUUGGUUAUCAUUCAUGAGGAUUAUUAGUGGGAAAUAUGGCUUUUGGUCUGAAUGUCGGGUAGCAUCUUCAGUCUGAGGAGUGGUUUGCUGAAUGUCAGGUUUCUUUCGAUGUCCGAGAUGAUCUGUGUUGAUAUGUAAUUUUGUGAAGGUUGCUCGUCCUAGUGGAAAUCAGUUCGUGUGUAAGGGAUUGUGUUAUGUGGGAUUGUUAAGGGAGGUCGGUGAUGGAGACCGGUGGUAGGUAGUCAGUACUCUAAGCGGGGGAGAAUUGGAAAUUCUCCGGAAGAUCGAUAAGCAUGAGUAGUCGAUUAGCUGUUGGGGAUUCAGCAGCGGUUUGGUCAGCCAAGAGCGUAGGCUGGUAUAAGCAAGUGACAGGCAGACGGGGCGGGAUGCAAACCAAGGGUGAUUGAUUGUGGAAGGUCUGGGAUCGGGCCGGGAUUGAGUAUGUAGAAUGGGGAUAAAAUUCGGAACCCCUAGCGGGCUAGAACAGUGUGCAUGGAAGAGUUUCCUGGAGGGAUAAUUCGGGAUGUUGGAUGCUAGUUGAGCGGUCCGGAUAGACUGAAGGCCGGUGGGCGUACCAGUCAGGCCGAAGGCUCGGAGGACGGUCCAGACAGGCUGAAGGCCCUGGAAGGCGGUCAAGACCCGCUGAAGGUUCUGAGAGUGGUCCAGAUGGGCUGAAGGCCUGGUAAGGCGGUCUAGUCAUGAUAAAGACUCUGCAUGUGUUGAUAGAUCUGUAUGAGGAAAUGUAACGAGUAUGUCGCGAUGUGAUAGCAUCAGAAGGUCUGGCCCCGGGUAUUGAUCGUGAUUAGUGGAGUUAGUGCAUGGACUCAAGAGUCUCUGCGAGCGGAUUCAGAGCAUGUGUGGUGCAUGAGAUAGCGGUUAUGCUAUAAGGGAAUGGUGUAGUAUUGGGUGAGCACCGUGGCACUUGUGGUAGUGUCAAGGCAGCCAAGUGGAUUUCCUUGGUAAGGAAAGGGAAAGGAAUGUAUCUCCAAGAGGGAGUGUAAGUUCACGGAAGUGAAAGCAGUAGUGUGAAGUUAUGAUUGGGGUGUUCCAAUUAUGGUUGUUGCGCAGUGUGUGCGGCGGUGGUAUGGAAUCACAUCCGGGCUUGGAUGUUUGCUGAGGUCGCGGAAGGAAUUCCGUGAGUGUAGAGCCAAGAGGCUCGGAAGGGAUGUAGGGAUAGAAUCUUGGAUUUCCAGUUUGAUUUUGAUCAAGGAAUUAUGUAUGAGGCGGAAAUUCAUCCUGGGGGAUGUUUGGAGGUGUCGUCCGUGUAUUGGGUUUUCCCAACCCGAGGAUGCUAGAGCCAGAUAAGCAUGGGUAUGAGAUUGCGGAGGAGAACUCAUGGGAGUUGCUCUGAGGCUGAAGGAUGUGUCAUCCUGUCAGCAUGGAGUGGAUAAAGUUGGUCUCAGAUCGGGAUUCCGGUGGUUUAGGAUUAUUUCUAGCUCGUAUGAGUCGAGUGAUUGUUGUGAUUUGGAGCUAGUGAAGUAUCAUGUAGUGGAACUUGGUUGAUAAGUGUGGUUAUCAGAGGAUGAGGCCGUUGGCCGGCUUGAAGCGGUGGUCAGGGCACCGUAAGGGGGCGAGAGUAGUUUCGGUGGUUGUGUUUUGAGGAACCUGUUCUGGUUAAUGCCAGGUGGUGCAUUGCGAGAGUAGUUUUGGAGUUGUGUUGUCGCAGGCUUCGAGGGCGAAGCCUAAUUUAAGUGGGGGAGAAUUGUAACAUCCCGAGUUCAGAAGUGCAAGUUCAGGGUUCAAAGUGUAAAUGUCAAAGGGUAACUCGGUGAGUCCAUGGGUGGACUCAGCGAGUAGAGUCGUGAUUCUGGUCGCGUGUUAAGUGGCCAACUCGGUGAGUCGGCGGUUGGAGUCGGCGAGUUGGUGUUGUGUGGAGAAAACCCUAACUUCGGAGGAUGAGCCUUAUAUAAAGGACAUUAUACCCUCUCCCCAGCCUCUUUACCUUCCCUUGAAGUCCAGAAAACCCUAAGGAGCGUUUGUGAGUGGUUUGAGAGCAUUUGGACCUUGGAGAAGAGAUUUUGGAAGAGAUCUUGGAGAGUUAAGAGGCUUGAAGCAAGGGGCUUUGCAAGGAUUUGGACUUCUCUUAUGUUGGAGCUUUCCUUUGAGGUAUUAUUUCGUUGUUUGGGCUGUUUGUCAUCAUUUUAGAGUUUUUGGAAAAGUAUAGCUUGUGGUAUUUUGAGUUGGAGGGUAGAUCUGAGGUUGCUACCUCAGAUCUGGAAUGGAGAAGGUCUAGAGAGCAUUAAAUUCCUUGUUCAAGAAUGGUUGAUGAAUCCUUUUUGUCCCAAACCCAAACCCUAGAGUGUAAAAUGCUUAGAUCUACUUGGAUUCACGUAAAGUUUGCCACUUUACGUGAUGGAUGGCUUGUAUAAGAGUAGAUCUAUGGAUUUGAGACCCUACAUGGCUUGGAAAGCCUCUGUAUGGGUUAAGAGCUAGUGGCACUCGGCGAGUCACAUGGGUGUACUUGACGAGUUGCAUGAAGGUGGGCAGAAACUCGACGAGUUGGAAGAACAACUCGGCGAGUUGGUUGAAGAUAGCCUUGAACUCAGCGAGUCUGUUCUUGGACUCGGCGAGUCUGGUCGUGAGGUCCUAACCUUCUUCUGGUUGAGUCGUGAAUCGGUGAGUCAAGGGAGGAAUCGGUGAGUUGAGUGCGAGGGGACUCAGAGUUGUGGGACUCGGCGAGUCACGGGGUGACUCGGCGAGUUGAGUCGUGAGUUGGGGAAGUUCUGAGCAUGGGGAAGUUGACUUUGACUUUGACUUUGACUUUGACCAAGGGUUGACCAGUUGACUUCCAAGGGUAUUUUAGUAAUUAUUGGCAUUUGUUUUGAGUUCAGUGUUGGUGUUGGCUAGUGGUGGAGAUCGUGUCAGUGGUCGGAGCAGCUCGGUCUUAUCUUUUCAGUCGGCAGUUGUGAGGUGAGUUAUCCUCACUAUAUUGACAGGGUCUACGGCACCAAGGCCGACCCUUUAUCGGAUUAUGAUCCAGGUAUCGUUGUUAUGUUAUUGUUUUGCUAUGUUUGCAUCCUGGUAGUUAGGAUGGUAUAUGUUAGAUACCUGGUUUAGGUUGGUAUCCUGGUAUAUAGGAUGAUGCUAUGCUAGUGACCGGUUAGGUCUGUAUCCUGGUUAGGAUGAUGUUAUGUUAUGUGGUCUGGUAGAUCGGUUUGAUUGGAUGUGAAUUGUUAUAUGAUUGAAUGUUUAUGUGCACAUGGUUGUUGGACUGGGGUUGUGUUGAGGCGAGUCCUGUUUUGUGUUGUAGGCUAACAUACCCAGGGUAGACCGGUUAUCCCGAAGGCCCAACGAGCGGUCCAGAUAGGCGGUAGGCCCCAAGAGGGCGGACCAGACGUGCCGAGGCUUGGAGAGUGGACCAGGCCGACUGAAGGCCCAGUGCGGGCGGACCGGUCAUACUGUAGACUCAGAGAGUGGACCAGGUGGAUUGAAGGCCCGGUGUGGGCGGAGCAAUCACACUGUAGACUCGAUGUAUAUGGCUAGACUUGGAGGGUGGACCAAGUGGACUGAAGGCCAGUUACAGCGGACCAGUCACACAGUUGACCCGAAGUGCAUGGCUGUUCUGUGUCAUGUUAUGAUAUGGCAUGUUGUGCGUGUAUGGUAUAUGUGGUUGGUAUUUUGGGGGUAUCUCACUAAGCUUUCAGGCUUACAGUUGUGAUUUAAUGUUUUUCAGGUGCUUCAAGAGACCGUGGCAAAGCAAAGGCGUGAUCGUACCGCUCCUCAUGAUUAUGUUUUUGAUGUGUUUCUGGGAAGACUCUGAUAAUAAUUGUAUUGAAAACCUUUUUGUAUUAACUUAAUGAAACUGGGUUGUUUUUGAAAAGUUUAAAUUGGUUGAAAUUUUUAGAGAGUUACAACUAGCCUCCGCCUAACACAUAAGACAAGCAUCUCGAUGCUUAUCUGUCUUAUUACUCUUUAUACCCUAGUCCACUUUUCCUCUUUUGACCUUCAGGAUGGGUAAAAGACAGUUUUACCCCUCCUUGGCCCCACCUGCCCCCUUACUGGCCCAAUCAUGAAGUCAACAGAAGUCAACCUGGGUCAACAUUCCAUGUUGACCUGACUUGCCAAGUGCACACCUGUGACUCGCCGAGUCCCCUUGAAUUCUCCAUGAUCUUCCUAGGGUUCGCUCAACCCAUUGAGUUGACUCCCAACUUGAUGAGUCAACACUGGCCAAGGUUACUGGGUCACAACCGCUACAACUCGUCGAGUCAUCCUAGGGACUCGACGAGUUGGCUCCAUUGGAUUACUCAUUCAGCCACCUAAUGUCAGAUCUACAGCCCUAUUUCAUAGAUCUAACCUCCUACUACCCCAAAGUCGCGUAAUGGUCCGAUCUUGAUGUCCAUGCAUGGUGUAUUUUGCAUUAUAAGCCACAAAAACUCCAUUAAUGGUUCCUAGCUUCAAAGCCCAAUGGUUGUUCCACCAUGUCUUCUCACUUUCGGACUCUCUGGUCCCUCCAAGGUCCAGAUCUAUGCUACCAGCUCAUAAGAGGGGUUUGAUGCAUUCAAAACCCCACCAAGAAAGUAAUACAAGCCUAAUCCACAAAAUAAAGAUCUACUAAAAUAGGGAAGAAAGGGGGUCCCAAUUGAUACCUCCAACUGAUGCUCCUUGGUUGUAAAUCACAGAUGUACAACCAACUCUAGCCCUUUUUGGUUGAAACCGUCCUCUUCCUUGCAAGACAUCCACCAAGAAGCUCCACAUGGCUCUCACUCUUGCCCAAAGCACUCGGGACUCGUUUAGGGUUCUCUCAUAAAAAGGGUAGCUACAAUAAGAGACUUUAAAUGCCUUUAAAUAGGUCCCUGUUGGGUUGAAGAUUUGUUCAAGGGUUGCGUCAUUGGGCUCGGAUAUUUGUUUAUUUAAUUUUGUAUUCCGGUUUUGGGCCUGUCCAUACCGUGAGCCUGUUUUGUUUACUAUAUAAGUAUAUGCUUGCAUGCAUAUUAGGUUAAUGAUUUCAAGAUGGAUCUAGAGCGUAACGAUAGUAUUUACAGAUUUCUUUGAUCGUUCUUGUAACCUACUAAUCCUCUACAGUUGUUGUUCUUAAUAGAGCUCUUCUGAGGAUUUUGUUUUAAUCAUUCGACACGUUUGAUUCAUUCUUGACUUGUUCUUAUUUUCGUGUUCUUGUUUUUUAUAUUUACUUACCUGUUUAAGAUCUAAUCGAUCUUCAAAGAUUAAAGUUUUAAUCUCAUCAAUUGGUAUCAGAGCGGGAGGCUGUGUAAUUGAUACGCAUCUUUUCUGUGAAAAGGUUACAAUUAGGGUUUUUCCGCAAUUACUAAUAUUUAUUGAGCCGUCAUCUCAUUAUUGACGUAUCUUGAUAUUUAUUGUUUUGCCCUAAUCUGAGUUAUUACAAGUCUGAUCUUUUAACAGGUUUUUUUUGAUCAUAAUGGAUGAAUCGCAAUCAAAUCCUAUCAAUAUUUCCAACAGCAUCGGUUCGACGACAAAGAUUCCAAUCUUAUAUACCCAUGAUUAUGAAGUCUGGGCGCAUCACUUUGAAGACUACGUCAUAGGAUCUGAGGAUAAUGGAUACCUUAUAUGGGAAGCAAUCAUUAAUGAACCUUUUUCUCAUUCUGCAACGUCGAGAAUUGUUAAAACUCAAAAGGAGUACAAUGAUCUGCUGAAGGAUGUCAAAGAUAUUGCACAAGAUGAAAAGGAUAAAUUCCAGUGCAAUAUCAAGGCAUUAAGAUUGAUCAGAUUCGACCUUCAGUCUGAUACUUUCAGGUUGGUCAGCUCAUGCACGACGGCAAAGGAAGUUUGGGAUAGACUUCGUGAACUGUACUCUACAGACGAGGAUCUGGAACAUUCUAUCCAAACCUUACUCUUAUCUGAGUUUGGAGAAUUCAGGCAAGGAGCCGAAGAAACUGUGACCCAGACGUUUGAUCGCUUCAAUCAUCUUCUCAGCAGGAUGAUCAAACAUGACAUUGAAAGGAAGCUUAUCGAGCAGAAGGUUACGUUCUUAAAUGGUCUAAGGUCUAAAUGGAGAGCAGUGGUGUCAACAGUUAAAGCCCAUGAGCAGUUUAAAUCAUAUUCUUUGGCGAAACUAGUGGGUAUUCUCAAGUCCCAGGAGAAGAUUGUACUGCAGGAGAAGAACGUUGUUUCAAGCCUUGGUUCGCUGGUCCUCCUAUCAAAAAGUAAAGCUGUGAUGGAGGAUGAAGACCUUAAAUUGGAGGAGUAUGACCUCACGUCUGAGGAUUAUGCUAUGAUGGUGUCUAACCCCAAGAGGUUCAUAAAGAAGAGAUUCCCCAGCAAUAAAAACCGAAACUGGCAGGGGAGUUAUAGUUCAGAAAAAGUUAACAAUGAACCGAAGGUUGAAGAGCCCAAGAAGGAACCGAAGGUGGAUGGUGAUUCUGGAGUAAGCUGUUACUACUGUGGUGGGAAAAACCACUAUGCUAAAGAUUGUGUCCUUAAAAAGAUGGCUGAAAAGGAUGAUGAAAAGGAUGAGGAAGCUGUGCUGCAGAAAAGGCUCGAUGAGAUGAGAAAGAAGAAGUCUACCGCUAACCCUUCCAUGAAUGCUCUUAUUGUGCAGGGUUCGGUUGCUGAUGACGAGUUCGGUAGCGUGGAAGUUUGGUCUACCGACUCAGAAGACGAUGAAGUGAGGAAGCCUACUCAUGGAAAGGCUUAUGUGGCAAAGGAGGAGAGCAGUGGAGGAAGAUGCUUCAUGGUGUCUGAUGUAUCUCAGAUGAGGGGAUACAACACUGAUGGUGGAAGCAAUGAACCGAAGGGGCAGGAGGACAUGUGCUUUACGGCCAAACCACUCAGCCAGCAGUUCAAUGAGCUUGAUGAACUGAUAAAGAAGGUACAAUCGGUUUUCAUUUCAUUUAAAGUACCACAAUCCUCAUAUGAGAAAGAACUAAAAAAUGUUAAUACAAGAAUUUCUCAUCUAGAUAGUAGCUUAACUCAAACUCGAGUCACCAAUUCUAACCUAACUGAUCAAUUAAGCAGGGUGUCUUCGAAGAGUGAGGAGCGGCGCAUGUGGAUCGAGUUGAAGGAGUCUGAAUUAGUUAAAAUUAAAGACGAAAACAUUUAUUUACAAAGAGACAAUUUAAAGUUGUUAAAACAGCGGAAUGUUUUUUGUUUAAUUGCAAAACGUCUUUAUUCUAAUAUUACUCAGCUUCACUUGGACUGUGAAAUAGGCCAAAAGAUCCAUCGCAUGAUUUUGCCCUUCCUUGAGUUUAAGGAGGAUGAAAUCGAUGCCGAAGCUUAUAAUUGUGAGAGUGUGAUAUCAUCUGAUGACGUCAAUCCGACCUACAUGUAUGGACUGGACAAAAUAGAAUCUUUCAUUAAAUCCAAGGACCACAAGGACAUGCUUAAAAACCUUUUGGAUGAAAAUGAUAGACUUAAACUGAGAACCGAAACCAUACAAAAAUUUGACUCUUUAAACGCCAACGUAAGCUCAGAAAACAAAAUUGAUGUUGAAAAUGCAUCUGAGCUUAACGAGGACGACAACAUGAGUGAAAUUUCUGUAGAGGACACGGUUGACUGCUCAGAAUUUGUAAAAAGCGAACCUGAAAACCACAAGAAUCUAAUUUCUGAAAAUUCAGUGGAGUUCGCUCGAUUGUCCCAACAAAAGUCCCCGAUCUUAGCAGAGAAAGCGGUUGUAUAUCAAAAGGUCAGGACCACUCCAAAUCAAGUGUACAAGGUCACUGGAGUAACCGAACAUCAGACCGCUGAACUCACAGCUAUUGUAAACGAAGACAAUGCUGAUGGCUGUGAUGAGUACUUCUGGUCAGCUCCAAUAGAUAAUGCAAACGAAACGGUAGGCUUAUCAGAAAGAACCUCAUGGAUGAGUAAAGGUAGAUACAUACCAGAACCCUUGAAUAAGCCAGAUAAUUUCGAUGAGCCAAGCACUAGUGGUACGAAAGACAUUCCUCAAGAGAAUGGAAGUUCGGCAAAAGAAGACAUUCCCUCUAGUUCCUCAGUUCAAAGUGAAACUCCUACAGUUCAAAGUGAACCAGCCAAGGAGAAACCGAAAAUGAAAGCCAAUAUUCAUCAUCAACCGAAGCAGAUGAGGAAUAAGAAACGUGAAAGGAACCAGAGAUACAGGAAGAAUCUCUCUGAAAGGAAACAAUUCUGGCAAUCCCAGAAUGCAUAUUUCUCACAUCAAGACAAGAAUCUGAAGUUUGAGAACAAUCCUGUCAAAAAGCAUGAGAGCCACAACAACCGAAAGCCAAGGUUCGGUUCAGAAGAGAAUACCAACCGAAAGCAAAGGUUCGGUUCUGAGAAUGACUCCAACCGAAAGCAUAGGUUCGGUUCAGAGAACUGCUCCAACCGAAAGCAAAGGUUCGUUUCUGAAGUCAAAAGAGAUCAAAACUCUAAGGUCAGUCCCACCAAUGAUCAAAAGCAAAAGGGUCACCUAGAGUCUCCAGCCAAGAAGUCAUCUCAAUCUAAGCCCACUCCUUCUCAUUCAUCUAAUUCUUCUAAUUCUUCCAAUUCAUCUCCAUCUUGCUCUAAAGCUCAUUCUGUUCGUUCUCAAAAAUCUCAUUCGUCAGCUGAACAAAAAGGCAAACAGAAGGUUAAUGCAUCCAAACCAGAGUCUAAACCGAACGCACCUAAUCCUAAUAAAAUAAAAGUCUUUACCAUCAAAAAGAAAGAUGAAACAACACUUAUAAAACGAACAUAUCUUGUUGACAUCUCUCUUACUAUUCCUGUUCCUAUGAAAAGCUCACGUGGACCCAAGAAACUUUGGGUUCCUAAAUCUGCUUAAUUUUUGCAGGUUAUAAGUGACGAGCAGUUCGACGAAGAAUGGUACAUCGAUAGUGGCUGCUCGCGUCACAUGACAGGAAGGAAAGAAGAGCUCAGGGAAUACAGGUCUCUUUCAAACGGUGGCAACGUCAAGUUCGGAAACAACUCUUUCGGCACCAUAAAGGGAUACGGAAUGAUAACUAAUGGUGAUUUUACUAUAAGGAAGGUGGCUUAUGUGGAAGGACUACAACACAACCUCAUCAGUGUAUCUCAGCUUGUUGGAGGUACAGGUCUCAAAGUCUCAUUCGACGAUGAAGGUUCUGAAAUUAUUGAGAAGAAGACGAAGAAAGUAAUUCUCAAAUCGGAGCGUAAGGGUGAAAUGUUUCCUCUAAACCUUAAACCCAUCAAAGGAAACCCAGCUAUAUGCUUGUUAUCAAAAGCUCAAUCUGACGAAAGCUGGUUGUGGCACCGAAGACUCUCUCAUCUCAACUUUAAAGAUAUCAACAAACUUGUCACUGGAGGUCAUGUUCGAGGCCUUCCAUUGCUCAAGUUCGACAGAGAUCAUUUGUGUGCUGCAUGCGAAAUGGGGAAGCAGAGUCGUCAAAGUCAUCCAUCUAUAAUUAACACAAAAGUUGUUGAACCACUCGAAUUACUUCAUAUUGAUUUGUGUGGUCCAUCAUCUAUCGAAAGCAUCGGUGGUAGCAAGUAUAUUCUUGUUAUUGUUGAUGACUUUUCACGAUUUACAUGGGUGUUCUUUCUAAAGCUCAAAUCUGAAGCGACUCAUAAGCUGAAAGUGUUCAUCAAGCAGAUUGAAGUACAGCUCAAGAAGGUCGUUCGCAACAUCAGAAGCGACAAUGGUCUGGAAUUCAAGAACAGGGAAUUUGAAGAAUUUCUAGCAGAAAAGGGAAUAAGUCACAACUUCUCAGCUCCCUACACACCUCAACAGAACGGAAUUGUCGAAAGACGAAACCGAUCUUUGUGUGAAGCUGCCCGAACUAUGCUAAGUUUCGCUUCCUUACCUCUUUAUUUUUGGGCUGAUGCUGUUUCUGCUGCUUGUUUUACACAGAACAGGUCCUAUCUCAACAAGCGAUUCACGCUCACACCUUAUGAGAUUCUCAACAAUAGGAAGCCAAACGUGAAAUUUUUCCAUGUGUUCGACUCACGAUGUUUCAUCUUUAACUCUAAAGAGCACCGCAACAAGUUCGAUGCCAAAGCCGACGAGGGAAUCUUUCUGGGUUAUUCUCUCACUUCCAAAGCAUACAGAGUCCUAAACAAGCGUUCGAGAAAAAUUGAAGAGACAUAUUAUGUGACCUUUGACGAUAGCUAUAUCAAAAAGCUACAGGCCAAAGAAGACACAACUGGGGAAAUCUUUCCUCAAACUGGCCAAGUCACAGUCUCGAUCACUAAUCUAUACGAGAAAUUUCUGGAGCUCUUUGACGAACCAGAGAAAGCUUCUCUCUCAGAAGCAGGUGCAGCAGACAACAAGGUAGACNGCAGACAACAAGGUAGACCACAUAAAGCAAAUUGUCGAAGAUGCUGCCAGAAGAAUGAACGAAGGACGAUCGAAUUCUGAUGAACCUCCAUCCAACGAUGCUUCAGUCGAGGGGGAGCAAAGCUCACAAGUCGAGGGGGAGCCAAGCUCUACAACUGAAACCGAAAGUGCUUCUCCAACCGAAAGUGCUUCUCCAACCGAAGGUGCAUCAACGCCUGCAAGUCCAGCAUCACAAGAAUCCUUUGAACCUCAAGUUUCUCAAAGCUCGUCAAUCAAGAGGGAGCCUAAUGAUAUGACGCUUGACUAUGAUAGCCAAUCAGAGCCAAAAGAAAUGAUCAAUGCUGAACUAGACCCAACCUUUGAUCCAAAUUAUCCUCCUCUUACCAAAUGGACCAGAGAUCAUCCUAUCUCUCAAGUGGUUGGUGAUGUCUCUGAAAAGGUUCUGACCCGAUCACAACUGAAGGCAAAACAGACAUCCUUAUUUUCAAAGGUUGAGUUUUGUAUGUUUAACUCAUUCGUAUCAAAAGUUGAACCGAAGACAGUUAACACUGCCCUCGAUCACUCUGACUGGGUUCAAGCAAUGCAAGACGAACUGAACGAAUUUGAAAGGAACAAAGUCUGGCGCCUCAUUCCAACUCCUCCAGAUGCUUUGGUUGUUGGUCUCAAAUGGGUUUUUAGGAACAAAAUGGACAAGGAAGGGAAUGUUGUAAGGAACAAAGCUCAUCUGGUUGUAAAGGGAUACUUUCAGGAGGAAGGGAUUGAUUAUGAAGAGACUUUCGCUCCUGUAGCUAGGCUGGAAUCUGUAAGAAUAUUUCUUGCUUAUGCUGCCCACAAAAACUUUGAAGUUUUCCAAAUGGACGUCAAGUGUGCAUUUCUUAAUGGAGAACUCGAAGAAACGGUGUAUGUGGAGCAACCUCCUGGGUUCGUGAACGAAAAGUAUCCAAACCAUUGUUAUAUUCUGGAUAAAGCUGUGUAUGGCCUUAAACAAGCUCCGAGAGCCUGGUAUGAAACGCUAACUAAAUUCUUAAAGAUGUCUAAAUUCAAACAAGGUUCGGUUGACCCAACCUUCUUUCGCAAAAAGGAAGGUAACCACCUUAUGAUAGUUCAAAUUUAUGUCGAUGACAUCAUCUUUGGCUCUACGAAUCCCAGCUUAACAGCUGAAUUCAGAAAGUUGAUGGAGACUAAGUUUGAAAUGAGCUCAAUGGGUCCUAUUAAUUUUUUCCUUGGUUUAAAUAUAAGACAGGGACCCGAAGGCAUCUUUAUCAAUCAGGAAGCUUACACGAAGACUCUCCUAGCAAAGUUUGGUAUGAUGGGAGACUCCAAAGUCAAAGUCCCAAUGGCAUUCGGCACCAAGCUAACUCCAUCUCUAGACAAACCGGCUGUUGAUAUCACGCUCUAUCGUCAAAUGAUAGGCUCACUAAUGUAUCUUACUGCUAGCAGGCCUGACAUCAUGUUUUCUGUGUGUUAUUGUGCUCGAUUUCAGGCAAACCCACGCGAACCUCACAUGCUUGCAGUGAAGAACAUUUUACGCUAUCUCAAGCGAACCACCUCCUUAGGUCUAUGGUAUCCUUCCAACUCAGGCUUCUUCGUUCAAGCCUAUUCUGAUGCUGACCUUGGAGGAUGUGGACUCGACAGAAAAAGCACUACUGGUGGCUGUCAAUUCCUUGACGGGAAGUUGGUCAGCUGGCAAUCCAAGAAACAAACGUGUGUGUCGUUGUCUACUGCCGAAGCGGAAUACAUAGCCGCUGCAUCCUACACCUCUCAAGUGAUUUGGAUCCAGAGUCAACUUCGAGACUAUGGACUCAAUAUGAAGAAGAUCCCACUAUAUUGUGACUCUGAAAGUGCAAUUAGGAUCUGUCAUAACCCAGUGCAACACUCUAAAACCAAACACAUAGCACUGAGGUAUCACUUCAUCAAAGAUCACGUGGAAGAUGGAAACGUCGAAGUUCAUUUCGUAAGAACCACUGAUCAACUGGCUGACGUCUUUACCAAAGCUCUUCCUGAAGCAUCAUUCAAUAGAAUCUUGCAAGGGCUAGGUAUGAUGGAAUCAGAGUCAGUACCUGACACUACCUCUCAACCUCAAACGUAAGAAGCGAAACCAACCGAACGUUCGGGUUCGGUUAAACCAUAUGACUCGCUCAUCACUACAAUGGUAAUUUUCUUCGUUGUAUACUACUUGUACAAAGUUUUUUUGAAAAUAUUUUCCAAUUGCAUGUCUAAAUUCCUUGGUUUUUCAAAAUUUUGUUGAACCGAAACCAACCGAAGGUUCGGGUUCAGUUUNAACCGAAACCUACCGAAGGUUCGGGUUCGGUUUUUCAAAAUUUUCCAAAACCGAAACCUACCGAAGGUUCGGGUUCGGUUUUUCAAAAUUUUCUUCAACCGAAACCAACCGAACGCUCGGGUUCGGUUUUUCAAAAUUUUCUUCAACCGAAACCAACCGAACGCUCGGGUUCGGUUUUUCAGAGUUUUCAAAAAAAAAAUUGUCUAUUUUUUUUCUUGCUUAUUUUUUUUAUCUAUUUCAAAAACUCCAAAAAUAUUUUUUUCUUUCUUUUGUUUGUGUGAUUGUUCAUUAAUGGGGAUAUAAUUACUGGAUCACUUAAGUGUCCCUAGAAGCAUGCUGCUGUAUGUAUCUCAAGCCUCAUAAGAUUCUAAAUAAAAGCCUUCAUGACCUGGUAUUAACAAACCUUGUCUUCCCAAUAAGGCUAUCACAUUUAUUUUAAUCGUGAGCUACCUCACUCUCUUCUCAUAUGAGUUAAGAGUUUCCUGCUUGGUCCUUAUUUUCGCAGCAGAGGUACUUUAUUUUCUUACACCAUCUCCAUUAAAUUUCUCCAUUACAUUCGUUUCAUCAACGUAACCCAUGAGACUCUCAGAUAUUACCACUAAGGUUUAUGGUUACACAACAACUGUGUUUAUGAUCUUAGUUUCGUGCCACUACGAGCUGAGUGAAACCCAAAAUUCAACACCAAAUCUGAAUUGACGGUGAACAGUUACUUUGCUCAAGUUUUCACCAAAGAAUUGACGAAUGUACCUACGUGAAAUCUCAAAUUUUAUUUUGUGUGAUUCCUAUGAAAUUGUUAAACACCAUAACAUUUCUUCCCUUAGGAUCCAGUUUUUAUUUUUUAAAUCUUAUAUUUUCCAAGUCUAUUUAAAGUAAAAUCCUACCUACUUGUUCAACAGACUACACCGGUCUCACAAGUACUUUGAUCACUUUCUUUCUUAUUUCAAGAUUAGAAUUGCUGCAUCAAAGCGAAAGUCACCCUGAAUUAGCCUAAUUAAAAGACGCCUUUCAACAUUUCUUAAUAAAUGAUUGAUCGUAUUUCAACGGGAAUCCACCUUAACACUUUAAGGUCUCUCUUGACCUUGAAGGAACAGAUUCGUGCCCGGGAUCAUUAGUUUCGUGUCAUUAUUGACAUCACAGUAAAUCCUAAAAAGAGUUGCUUUAUUUCUUUUCUUUUUACACUCUUUGCACGAAAAUCUUUGAUUUUCCAAAAUUCCGUUACUAAUUAAUUUCAGGCUGAUUUAUUACUUUGGUGGUUAAUUAUGAUGCUGUGGUCAAAAGUAAUCCACGUGGGUAGUUAAUUCAAAAGAUGCUGUUUAAAAGAUAAGACGAAAGGUUGCUGACUCGGCGGGAGUUAAAAAGGUUUAAUUUCAAACGACGGUAAAAAUGGUGCGCGUGUGGAUUUGAAACGCCCAUACUUUUACUGACAUCAAGGACGCGUGUGCGAAUUUCAAGGGAUUUCUCUCUGGCACUUAAAGGCGCGUGAGGAUUUGAAACGGUUUUCUUCUGAAACGGCGCUUCUUGGGUGGCGUGAUCCUAGGAAUCUGACACUCUCUCUCCUACGUGAUCAUCGCAGAGAAGAUUUGAAACGAUUUUUCUCUCUCCAUUCCCUCACUAUAUAAGGCAGUCUACAUUCUCAUUUACCUUUUUACUGCUUCCGGAUUUUCUAAAGAGCAAAAACUUUCAAAAGCUUCACUAUUCAUCUUCUUCUUCUACUACCUUCAGCAAUGGCGGGAUCAUCCUCAGUCCAUGCUACAUCCCACAUCCUUCCUAUUCGUCCUCAACAAUGCAUGGUGAUUGAUCUCAACCCUCUGGCGUACGACUCCUACAUGUCGCCGAUCAUCGAGUGCCUGAAGUACUCCCAAAUCGCUUCGGCUCUCUCCAGGAUUGAGUCUGUGCCCAUGACGACUCUCUCGCAGGUUUAUGCGACUGCCUAUUACGACAAAGCAGUCGAGCGGGUGUUCUUCGAGGUUGCUGAUCACAAGACCUCCAUUUCUCGACAACGUUUCUGCACACUGCUAGGGUUGGCUGCUGACCCAUCGAGAAUUAAUCCGGAGACGAUUCCGGUUGGGCAUCUGUAUAGCAUGUUUUACAAUAUGGGGUACACGGAGGUCCUCACCUCCGUCGCAAAGUUCAAGAAAUCUUGCUUGCCGCCACAGUGGAACGGCAUGUUCACAGUCCUCUUCAAGGGCUUGUCGGAACGGAGCUCAGGAUCCGACGGUGCUAGUCGACUUUUCUUGUCGAUCGUGUAUGCAGUUUAUAACGGGGUCAACUUAGAUUUUGGGUUGGUUCUCUGGCAACAGCUCCUCCAGAGCCUUUCUUCUUCAUCGCAACAUUCUGAGGUGUCGUAUGCCAGGUUCUGGAUUCUAAUCGCAAAGUGGGCAAUGGAUAGGUUUGAUAUUCCCACUGCUGCUGGUGCAUCGAUGUCUUCUAUUGGUACGUUUCAUACCAAGAAGAUCAUCGUCUCUGAUGCAUCCAAAUUCUUGUUCAUUGGCUCUAUUCCGGAGACAAUGUAUGGCGACGUUCCCUCUGACAGCAGGCUAAUCCGGACGAUCAAGGAGUUCAGGGCAACUGGACCUAGGGAACUUACACCGGAAAUGCUGAAGUCCAUCCAUGAUGCUGACAAACCGGUGAACAGGGGCAAAAAGGCGGACAAAGGGAAGCAAGUGACCAAAGCUGCUAAAGGUCCUUCUCCCAAGAAGAGGAAACAAACGAAACCUGCUCAGUCCCCGCAGCCGAAGAGAAGGAAGACUCAACCGAAGCAAAAGCUUAUNAUGGCUCUCAAGGAGGCGAAACCCCUCAAAGAGGCAACACACCACCUCGCUCACCUACCCCAGAGAUGGAACUUCAUAAUUCACCAGUUCCUUCACCUCCUCCAACCAUCCCUACUUCCAUUCCGACCAUAAUCCCCACUACCACUAUUCCUCCAACCUCUUUCCUUAUACCACCUCCCAUUUUCACAGAUACCACCCCAACCACUACAAAGGUUACAACCAACGUAUCUGAUACGGGGGUUCAUACCACUACCACCGAAACACCACCCGUAACCGACCCACCUCAAACCGAAACCCAUACUCAACCACCUCCCGAAACUACCCCACCCCACACUUAACUUGAACCUACCAAAACCCCCACACCCACAGCUUCACCACCCCCACCAUCUCCAGUUCAUGCCUCUGAUGGAGAUAACCCGUUUCUUGGCGGAGACAACAUGACCUUCGAUUCAGUCUAUUUUAGUCCGUUUCUGGUUCAGAGUGAUGAAGAGGAUGAUGCUCCAGUGACAAAGAAGCAUCUUAAGGAGCUCAACGAGAAGGUUGACUUACUUCUCGCCUCAUCUUCCAACCAACAGUCCUUGUUAUCUGAAGCUGCACUUCAGAAGAUUGUUGAUGCCUUCUCCAGGGCUCAGCAUGAUUCGGUAGCCUCAGCCUCUACCGCCAUCGAAGCCUCUACCAAAGCCUGUGAGGCUGCGACCGAAAAAGUCGAUAAACUAUUCUCCGACGCCUCUUCUCUGUUGAAGUCAUUCAGGAGAGUGCGGAUUCUACCAAGACAACUUUGGAACCGAUUGUUCAGCAAUUGGCAAAGUUUGUCUCAACGUAGUUGACCUCGUUCGCCAACCUUCGCCAAUCAAUAAGCGACGACAACUCGGCCCUUCGUGCCUCCAUUGAUGAGCACCUCGCUAAGCUUCAGGGGGAUCUCGCAGCUGAGAAUUCAUUGAUGGACGUUCUGGCAAGCAAAACCACCGCCCUAAAGGUCAAGAGCACUCAGCUAUCCAACUCUCAACAACAGCUGGAAGCUCUUCGAUCCGAAAGGGAGGUCAUCCGGACAUGUGUUUCGGAUGUACACGCUGCAUUAUCAAACAUCCUAGAAACACACGAUCCAAUUCUAAACCAUUCGGUGAGGAGAACCCUUGCUGAAAAACUUGCUCCUGCCUUGGACCUUCUCAGCAAAAUCGAAGGUAUACCUAGUUUCGUGUCCGAUCCGAAACAAGGGGGAGAAGUAAAGUCCGGAUCGAAACCACCUCCUUCUUGCAAAGCUGCUCACACAACCGAACCACCUCCAACUGGUCAAGCUUUGGGUUCGAGUGUGAAGGAUAAAGGGAAACACAUAGCUGAAGAUGAAGAUGAAGAUGAUGAAACCAUUGCUGACAUGUUGAAACGAAAGAACAGUCGCAAUGCUGAUGAAGAUGUUAAUUGUGUGGCGCGAGAGGCUGAAGAAGCUGAACGCAAGCAGAAGGAAGCCCACGAUCUCCUCGAGAGCAGGAAGACUCUCUUCCCUGCCUGGACUCGGGAGCGCAUGAUUAAAGAGGCCAUAGAUACUCCUAGCAUCUUAUGGCUCGAGCCGGUUAUCUCNNNNNNNNNNNNNNNNNNNNNNNNNNNNNNNNNNNNNNNNNNNNNNNNNNNNNNNNNNNNNNNNNNNNNNNNNNNNNNNNNNNNNNNNNNNNNNNNNNNNNNNNNNNNNNNNNNNNNNNNNNNNNNNNNNNNNNNNNNNNNNNNNNNNNNNNNNNNNNNNNNNNNNNNNNNNNNNNNNNNNNNNNNNNNNNNNNNNNNNNNNNNNNNNNNNNNNNNNNNNNNNNNNNNNNNNNNNNNNNNNNNNNNNNNNNNNNNNNNNNNNNNNNNNNNNNNNNNNNNAAUCCUCAUGAUUGGAUUGUUCUGCACAACAUCCUCUUGACAAAUGAAGCUGAAUAUGGUCCGAUCAUAGACCAUCUCAAGAGGAUGAUUGUCUGUUACAUCAUGGAGGUUGCCCUUAUGGAUCAGGAGGUUGCCACAGUCUUCAAGAAGAAACCGAAGAUAGCUCCUGUGGGAUCGGCCAGUGAUCUCAAUCAAAUGAAGAUGGGCAAGAUCGACCCGAGACGCAAUUCGGUUAUGUUCACUAGAGCUAAAGGACAGAAAUGGCUCUUCGCUUUAGCUGACAAACAUCUUUACACCACUGCUUGUCUAGAGCAUGUGUUAUCGAUCAUUCGAAGGUGUAAAGAGAAUGCAGCGGAUGAUGUUAAGUACUUCAACGACAUGAUCCAAUGGUACAUCAGGUUUAGGCAGACGAUUCUGGCUCUUAUCUCUCGUCUGUUUAACACUGUGAAGAAGAAGGUACCUGCCUCCGUUGCUGGCCCAAGUAACAAGUGAAGAUCUCGCUCCAAUUGACGCAAAGGGGGAGAUUGUUGGGUUGAAGAUUUGUUCAAGGGUUGCGUCAUUGGGCUCGGAUAUUUGUUUAUUUAAUUUUGUAUUCCGGUUUUGGGCCUGUCCAUACCGUGAGCCUGUUUUGUUUACUAUAUAAGUAUAUGCUUGCAUGCAUAUUAGGUUAAUGAUUUCAAGAUGGAUCUAGAGCGUAACGAUAGUAUUUACAGAUUUCUUUGAUCGUUCUUGUAACCUACUAAUCCUCUACAGUUGAUGUUCUUAAUAGAGCUCUUCUGAGGAUUUUGUUUUAAUCAUUCGACACGUUUGAUUCAUUCUUGACUUGUUCUUAUUUUUGUGUUCUUGCUGUUUUAUAUUUACUUACCUGUUUAAGAUCUAAUCGAUCUUCAAAGAUUAAAGUUUUAAUCUCAUCAGUCCCAAACCCCAGAAGUUAGGGUUUAUCUGCCCAUCACCUACUCGGGGAGUGCCUCCCUUGACUCGUCGAGUCCACUCAUUAAACAAUGGGAGAACCACGACUCGACUCGGCGAGUUGGACCCUCAACUCAUCGUGUCUCUCUUUCAAUCUCAAGAUUAACAUACACAAUCAUAUCCCUGAAAAUCUGAAUGUUACACCAUAAGGAUUUUGUCCAAGAGGUGGAGUUUUGGAAGAUUCUUAUGGGUUGCUUAGAGCGUAAGCAACCGGAUGAGGUGUUUGACUGAAACCCUAAUUCUUCAGCUAUAUUAGGACCCCUUUCGCAUCCCUAAACUGGCCACUUAAACCCUAAGGAUCAUAGAGCCAUUUUUGAGCCUCCUUCCCCUCUCUCCAAGAUCAUCCAAUUGCUUUGGUGUUUGUGAUUCAUUAGAGGCAUCACAUUUGAGGUGCUAGGUUCUCAAAAGCUCAAGGAUCUUCAAGCAAAAAUCAUAGGUAACUUUCUAACUUGUUUAUCAGAUGUUAAUUUCGAUUUUGUUGUAUGCUAGAUUAGGGUUUGCGAGUUUUGGAUGAUUAUUGCAUGUACAAAUAGGAAAACCUAGAUCCAAAGCUUUAGGGUUUGCAUGUACACCUAGGAUUGAUGUUUUGCUCAUAACCCAACAGUGGUAUCAGAGCCUAGGUCAUUUUUCUUUUGUAUUUGAUGCAUUGUUAAUUUUCCAAGGCUAAAAAAUCGAAAAAUAUUGCCUUUGCCUGAUGUACUUAUCGAGUCCUUUCUGUGAAUCGGCGAGUCGAGUCGUCUGGUGGCUGAUUUUUUGGGAUUUUGACUGAAAUUGAAUUAGGAUAAUUAUCAAAAACGUUUUUGGGUAAUAAAAUCCGAUUUUUUCAAUAUGGUAUGGAUUAUCCUAAUGCAAUUCAAAGAUAAUUAUCAUAAAUAAGAUAAUUACUUGUUUUAUAUAAUAAAGAUUAAUUAUUUGUAUUAUCUUGUCAAGAUAAUAGAUUAGGUCAAAUUAUGUGAUAAAGUUUUAUAAGAUGAUUAAUUAAUUAUUUUUCAAAUUUGAUCUGAAAGAUGUUUUGAAAAGUUUCAAAACUUGCCCUCAAAUUUUGGGGUUUUAAAUUUAAUUAAAAAGUUUUAAUUUUGAAAUAUUUAAAUCCUAAACCCUUGAGUUUUACAAGUUUAAAAUUCAACCCUUAUACUAUUAUAUUAUUAUAAGAUUAAUAAUUAUAUAUAUAUAUAUAUAUAUAUAUAUAUAUANNNNNNNNNNNNNNNNNNNNNNNNNNNNNNNNNNNNNNNNNNNNNNNNNNNNNNNNNNNNNNNNNNNNNNNNNNNNNNNNNNNNNNNNNNNNNNNNNNNNNNNUAUAUAUAUAUAUAUAUAAGAUAAAGCUAGUCUUACCGUUAGUAGGCCUCAUUCAUGAAGCCGAUCUAUAAGGGGAUAUAAGGUUGCUGCCUAUAAAAUGACAGUUUAACGAGUGUUCACUCUCACCCACCGCUUCCUUGAUUAGUGGAGGGUUGUUAGCCGAACAGGUAUGAUAGGGCAACUAAUUCCUCAUUAAGAGUAUAAUGAUUAAUAAAGUAAUUAAAUGUUAUUUUUUAUAAAAUUUCCAAUCUUAGUUACUUUAGGAAAAACGUGAAAUGAUGCUAUUCAAUGAAAUUACACUUUGCACCCUGCCAAGUCGUUAGUGGAGCGUGCGUGGAUAAUCGGCACACUAAUUUGGGACUAGCAACGGUGGAAAAGGGUAGCUCGAUGUUUAUCAAAGAUCAAUGGAGCGUGUGUGAUUAAUUGACACAUUGAUUAGGUGGUAAAUGACAUCGAGAGUACCAAGUACAUUUGCAUGGUUAUUCACACCUUGUUUGUGAUCCUCGGUAUCCCAGUCAAAAACUUGAGGGGCAUAUCGAGAUUUAAACAUGCCAUUUAAAAGUUCAAUGAAUCUCAAAAGAAUCUAGGGAUUUCAACUCAUUUAAAACUUAAUUUUCUUUUUCAUUUUUCAUGGUGGAAAUUGCUAAAUCGUCAUUUACCUACCUUCAAAUUAUUUGCAAUUAGAUUACGACAUCCCUCUUCUGAAUUGUAAAUAAUUGUGUUGGGUCCUCGCCCUAGUUUCGCAUUUGGGUGUUUAAUUGGGGAUUCAGGUCUAAUCUAAACGUUGUUGCUUUUAUAUUUUAGAUGUCUACAUCAAACAACAACAACGCUUCUGGCUCGACCCCUUCCGACUCAUUCUCGCUCAUGAACUUGUGUGGGAGGGUGAUAUUCGAUGGGUCCAAUUUUAACGAUGGAAUCCGCAACAUUCGCAUGGUCACCCGUUACGAGAACAAAGAGUAUGUUGUCGAAAAGGAGCUAAAGGAGGUUAAUGUGAACACUGCCACUCCUGAAGAAAUUGCUGCUUACGAAACCCACGAGCGAGAUGCUACGAAGGUUCAUUGCAUAAUGCUCGCAACAAUGACUGUGGAACUCCAAAAGUCCUACGAGGACUACUAUCCCUACGAAAUGCACCAAGAUUUGAUGGAAAUGUACCAUCAAAGUGCCAGGUAGGAAGGGUAUGAGAUCAUUGAUGUGAUGAUCACUACUAAAAUGAAGGAUGGAGAGUCCAUCACGACCCACUUGAAGAAAGUACAGAGAUACGUGGACCGCUUGCUGAAGUUAAAUGUUAAAUUCGAUGAGCAGCUAGCCAUAGAUAUUAUUCUACACUCCUUACCUCCUUGCUAUGACCAGUUUCGUAUGACCUACCACAUUAACAAGGAGGAUGUCACUCUAAGGAAGCUUCAAGUCCUGCUAAGGACUGCUGAGAGUAGUCUGAAAGGCAAAUAUAUUGCAUCUACUCCUCCUACUACUGCCUCUGUCUUGGCUAUUGGGCAAGGAAAGGGAAAGAAGAGGAAAGAUCCUUCUAAGAGCCAUAAGGGAAAGUCUCACGAUGGUACCUCUUCUAGUGGAACCACAGCUGGUCCUGCUGCUCCCUCUUCCAACCCAAAGGAUGCAGAGUGCUACUACUUCCACGAGAAAAGGCAUUGGAAACGAUGCUUCCUAAAGUACCUACAGGACAUCAAGGAUGGGAAGAUAAAGCCCACCUUGACAGGUAUAUAUAUACUAUUCAAUCUAAUAACUCAUCACAUCCUAUCUCUCGGGUCCUCGAUACAAGAUGUGAUUUUCACAUUUGUUCUGAUUUGCAGGGUCUAAGAAAAAGUAGGGAUGUGGAGCAUGGGAAGAUAAACUUGAUCAUGGGGAAUAGGAAAGCAUCGCCUAUCACCAAGAUUGGAGUUUACUCUUUAGUGCUUAGUAGUGGGUUAGGUUUAAAUUUAAAUAAUUGUUGCUAUUCAUCAGAAAUGACACGAAACAUUAUUUCUUUUCAUUGUUUUUAUAAACAAGGUAUUAGAUUUUCAUUUAAUAAUGAAACUGGUUCUAUUAAUGCUUUCUUUAAUGGUACUUUCUAUUUUGAAGCGUUUUCUUGUAAUGGUAUAUAUGAAAGUGUGCUGGUUGUAGACAACUUAGGAAAUGAUGUGUUGCAUAUCGAUUCUUCUAAUGGCAUGGAUAAAGCAUACCAGUGGCAUUUUUGUCUUCGACAUGUCAACAAGAAGCGCAUAGCCCAACUCCAAAAGGGUGGAGUGUUGGAGUCAUUCGACCUUAGGGAUGAUGACACGUGCGAGUCUUGUUUACUUGGAAAGACGACCAAGUCACCCUUCACUGGCACUUGUGAAAGGGGUGAGGGUUUAUUAGAUCUCAUAGAUACCAAUGUAUGUGGGCCCUUUAGAUACACCACAAGGGAUGCGAACCGCUUCUAUGUGACUUUCACCGAUGAUUAUAGCAGAUAUAUGUAUAUCUACUUAAUCAAACACAAGUCAGAAACCUUUGAAAAGUUCAAAGAUUUUAACCAAGAACUGGAGAAGCAGAUGGGUAGGAAAAUUAAGAUGCUCCGAUUCGAUCGAGGUGGCGAGUACCUUAGUAUUGAAUUCCACGACUACCUCAAUAAAUGAUGAAUUGUUUCGCAAUUGACGUCACCUAGGACACUGCAGUUGAAUGGUGUGGCUGAGAGGUGCAAUUGAACCUUGUUGGAGAUGGUUCAUUCCAUGAUGAUUCGGGCUUCGUUACCUAUCUCAUUUUGGGGGUCUGCCUUAGAGACUGCCACUCAUAUCCUUAAUCUAGUCCUGACUAAGAAGGUUUCCAAAACACCUCACGAGAUUUGGACAGGGAAAGCUCCCUCGUUGGCACAUAUCAAGGUUUGGGGUUUCGAGGCUUACGUAAGAUGAGAGACUCACAACAAGCUCGAACCUCGUCGUAAGCGGUGUAUUUUCAUCGGCUAUCCGCAGAAGUCCUUUGGAUAUCUCUUCAAUACUCCGAGUGACAAUGUUGUCUUCGUUGCGAGGAGAGGGGUUUUAUGAGAGCGAGAACUCAUAUUCCAAGGGGACAGUAGGAGGCAAAUUGAUCUUGAAGAUCUUCAAUAAUCAAGCGAUGAAGGAACCUCUAACACUGGCGCUCAACCCGAGGAGGAAACUCUUAUCGAACCGAUUGACAAAUCCUUACCUUUUAGACGUUCUAGUAGAGUUAGUGUUCCACUCGUAUUAUAUGGAUUCCAUAUAACUGAUGAGGGUGAUACAUUUAUUAGUGAUAGUACACUAAUGAAUUUGGAUGAACCUAACAACUACAAGAAAUCCAUGGCAGGCCCGGAGUCUGCAAAAUGGAACGAGGCUAUGGACAACGAGAUUCAGUCCAUGUAUGACAAUCAUUUUUGGAACUUGGUUGACAAUGUACUAGGUUGUAAGACGGUCGGGUGCAAGUGGAUUUUCAAGAAGAAGACCGACAUGGAUGGGAAAGUACACACAUAUAAGGCGUGAUUGGUUGCGAAGGGCUUUACUCAAACUCCUGGAGUUGACUAUGAUGAGACCUUCUCACCCGUUGCGAAGAUUAAAUCUAUAAGGGUAAUACUAGCCAUAGCUGCAUUUCAUGACUAUGAAAUAUGGCAAAUGGAUGUGAAAACCGCUUUCCUUAAUGGGAAGUUGGCUGAAGAUAUUUACACGAGUCAACUAGAGGGUUUUGUCAAUGCAGAACACCCUAAUAGAGUGUGUAAGCUUAAGAAAUCCAUCUAUGGAUUGAAACAAGCGGCUCGCAGAUGGAAUCUUUGUUUCGAUGAGAAAGUCAAAGAGUUUGGUUUUUCGAGAAGCGAGGAUGAGUCCUGUGUAUAUGUCAAAGCCAAUGGGAGUAUAGUUAGCUUUCUUGUAUUGUAUGUGGAUGACAUACUGCUCAUAGGAAACGAUGUCUCAAUCUUGCAGGAGGUUAAGUCCUGGCUUGGGCAGUGCGUCGCUAUGAAGGACCUCGGAGAAGCUGCUUAUAUUCUUGGGAUAAGGAUUUUGAGAAAUAGGAGUAAAAGACUAAUAGGACUUAGUCAAAGUACUUACUUGGAUAAAGUGUUCAAAUGUUUUAGCAUGGAAAAUUCCAAGAAGGGGGAGUUAGCAAUCGAAAGCAAUACCAAGUUGAGUAAGACUCAAAGCCCGAGUACCGAUGCUGAGAUACCAUAGAUGAGCAGAGUACGUUAUGCUUCCGCAGUUGGCUCAAUCAUGUAUGCUAUGACAUGUACACACCUGAUGUUGACUUUGCUUUGUGCAUCGUUAGCAUAUAUCAAGGGAACCAUAUUAGAGCACAUUGGACCGCAAUAAAGAAUAUUCUUAAGUACCUUCGAAGGACUAAGGAAUGAUUACUUAUCCUUGGUGGGAGUGAUGAAUUGAGAGUACGAGGGUAUAGUGAUGCUAUUUUUCAGACUGACCGGGAUAAUUUCCGCUCGCAGUCAGGCUGGGUCUUUACCCUGAAUGGAGGAGCCGUGACUUGGGGCUAGAGAGACUAGAGUGUUCUUGGAGAGCCAUAACCGAUUUGUAUACACCAUACUCUCUCAAAAGUCACCCUUUGUCCAAGGUGUGUUUUUAUUCCACUUGAGGCAUUCACAUUAUUGGCGCUAAGUUCUUAAAGGCCAAAUACAACAAGGUUUCCAACUACAACAAAAGGUGUGUCAUCCAACUAGAACUCUGUAAUAAAGAUAUUCUAUUAGAUAAUAGUUAGGAUGAUGCUUUGGAAAUUAGAGUCUACAUGUAUAUUUGAGAAAACAUAGAUCCAAAGCAUCUAGGGUUGCAUGUACACCAUAGGAGUGUUAGAAUUCUCAAAACCAUUUAGUGGUAUCAGAGCCUAGGGUCGUUUUCCUAUAUACUUGAUGCUACUUGCUUUAAAAUGCUUUAAAAUAAAUUUUUUGCUGUCUAGACAGUGGACUCAUUGAGUCCAUUGGGGGACUCGCCGAGUCUAUUGGGCGACUCACCGAGUCACCUCACAAAUGUAACCAACUCGCCGAGUUAGUUCAUGCACUCGACGAGUUGGUGCUUCGGAAUGCAAAUAUUCGAGGUUUUUGGCUCGAAUUGGACUAGGAUCAUUACCCUAGACCGUUUUUGAACUUAUAAACCUGUUUUUGAUGUGGUAAUGAUCAUGCUUAUCCAAUUUAAAGGAUAAUUGUCAAAGUUUCAUGUUUUGUGUUAGUUUAUAUGGUUAGGCUAAUUACAUUAAAUUUUUUUGAUGUGAAUUGUCUUGUUCUUACGAGUUUAAUUUAGAUCAUAUACAAAUUGAUUGUUUUUGUAUUUACAAUUUUUUUGAUCUAAAUGUUUUUGAUGAAUUCCAUAACUUUUCCUCAAGUUAUGGAAAAUGAAAAGACUUAAUUUUAAAGAGAUCAUUAAACUUAUAGGUUAUGAACUUGAACAGUCUUUUUCCAUAAAUGUUUUUUUAUGAAUUCUAUAACUUGUCCUCAAGUUAUGGAUUUUCAAGAGUCUUUUCAUUAAAAACUAUAUUAAACUCAUAAGUUAUGGAUUCCAAAAGUUUUUGAAUAGUUUAAAACUUUCCCUCAAGUUUUGGAAUUUGUAAAUGUAAAAGUCUAACUUUUGAAACAUUUAAUACCAAACCCUAGAAAUUUAAAUGUGUAAAAUUCAACUUUUAUACUUUAGGUUUAAUAUGUAUANNNNNNNNNNNNNNNNNNNNNNNNNNNNUAUAUGUAUAAGAGUAAAGUCAGUCUUACCGUUAGUAGACCUCAUUCACGAAGCCGGUCUAUAAGGGGGGUAUAAGGUUACUGCAUAUAAAAUUGCAGUUUAAUGGGUAUCCACUCUCACCCACCGCUUCUUUGACUGGUGGAGGGUCGUUAGCUAAACGGGUUUGACAAGACAUUUAAAUUCUCAUUAAAAGUAUAACAAAAUACUAAGUAACUAAACACUUAUAAAUUCCCAAUCUUAGUUACUUAGGAAAAUGUAAAUUUGGUGCUAACCCAUGAAAUUGCACUUUGCACCUUGUUAAGACGUUGGUGGAGCGUGUGUGGUUAACCGACACACUAAUCUGGACUGACAGUGCAUGGAAAAUGGUAGAUUGGUGUUAAUCAUAGAUCAAUGGAACGUGUGUGGUUAACCAACACAUUGAUUAGGUGGUUGUAACAUUGAGUGUAACGAGCUAAUUUGCAUGGUUAUUCACACCUUGUUUAUGAUCCUCGACAUGUCAGUCACAAACUUGAAGGGCACAAUACAUGCCAUUGAAUUGUUCAAUGAAUCUCAAAGGAUCUAGGAAUUUCAAUCCAUUUAAAAGUUAAUUAUCAAUUUCGUUUUUCAUGGUGGAAAUCGGUAAAUCAUCAUUUACCUACUUUCAAAUAUUUUGCAAUUGGAUUACGACAACCUUCUUCCGAAUUAUAAAAUAUUGUGUUGGGUCCUAGCCUUAAUAUUUCUUGUUGGGUGCUAUAUGAAGGACUAUAAUCAGCUAAACUUAAAUUUCUCCCAUUAUAGAUGUCUAGUUCAGACGAUUAUGGUCUUCCCGAAUAUUUUGAAAAAACUUUCUUUAUAAAGAUGAUUUUCCAGAAGCGAUCAAGGUGCAAGAUUAAUCCCUUCUUCGUGCUGUAGUGGAACUUCACUUCCUCCACCUCCUCCAAUAAUUCUACCUAACCCACAAGUUCUAGGUCACUAAAAGCCCUAUUGGCAGGAAGGAAAUUAUGUAUGUUCUCACGUCUUGGAGAUGAAGUUAAAUAUUGAUAAGCUAGGAUAGUUGGGUGUCGAAGUCUUAAGGAACUUGGCUAUUGACUGGGUUCUGUAGUCACUUCCUAAGUCAUAUAGCGAGUUCUUUAAGGACUACUAUAUGGGAGAUCACGACAUGACCCUUACUGAUCUAACAUAUUUGCUUAUUGCUACUGAUUCAACAAUGAUUUAGCGCAUUGGUAAAGAAAAUUUUAUUGGAAGAUCUACUCCACGCACUUCCAUGGACAUUGACAAUUGGAACAUUGGAAGUCCAGAAAAGAUUUCUCUUCCCAAUGGAAAGGGAUCGACCAUGGUCAAUUCAUUUGACCAAAUGGUAAAGAGAAAGGCUAAGUCUGAGAUAGUCCUGUGUACCAUUCCCAAAGAUUCCAUAUGUUUCUAUUGCGAAGAGAAGGGGCAUUGGUUGCGAAGCUGCCAUAUUUACCUGAAAGAUACAAGGAUGGAAAAGUCAAAAUAUUUAACUCUGCUUCAGGUAAAAUCCACUGUUUAACUCUAUUAAGUUCCUAUUUGUAGAUUCUUAAUACAUGAUGUAAUGUCAUUACAUUUUGAUGUUUUGAAAAAACCAAGAAAUAAAAGGAAGCUUAAAGGAAGAGAAUGUUGAGUUUUAUCAUGAAGAGAUGGAUUUCGAUCGCAUGGUUCGACAAUCAGAUUUGUGAGCUGCUACUUAAGAGUUGUGAUAGAUUGCUUAGGAAUAGAUAACAACAUAUUUUCACUUGUAUUUGCAAUAUGAGGAUAAGUUUUCCACAAUUUUAUAAAUAAAGAAAAUUUUUGAAAUUUAUCUUAUUUUAAAAUUUCCUUACAACGGCAUUUGUGAAAAAUUGUUGCUUAUAUUUUUCCAUUGAUAGCAAUCUUGGAAUAUGAAUUUGAUUCUUUCGUUUGUGGUAGUGUCGAGAAUUUUCUGAAUAAGGAAAGAUUCUCAUCACCCAAGUUUUAGUUGGAUAGAAACUUGGAAUCAUGCAACUUGUAUUGUGUGAUGAAUGACAACCUUCAUCUUUGGGAAAUUAAGACUAAUUCCUUGUUCAUAUGGAUAUAUGAAUAAUGCGAAGGACUAGGGGAUCGGGUACACUGGGUGUGCGCUGGUCAGGUCCACCACAAAGAACGAUAAGACUAUUCGUCAUGAUUUACUGAAGUUUAGUAAAGAUGGUUAUACUUACAAGUUUAAGUAUAAUUCUGAACAUUGAAAAAGUUUCAAUGUCUGGCAGAACGAAUGAGAAAAAUCAAAUUACACAGAAAGAUAAAAGUUUAUCCAAUCUGAAAAGAUGGGAGAGUACUUUCGUAUCCUGUUUUAUGAUCAUCUUAAUGAUUAUGGAAAACCAUAUCACAAUUCACCCUCUAAGGUCAUCUUAGUUCAUUUCUAUGGCCAAGAAGAGGAAUCGUGAAUUGUUGAAAUGUUUAAAUCUAGAAGAUGAGUCAUACUUCAUUCCAAGAACAAGUCUUAGAGUCAUACUCCAAGAUUGUAACUUGAGUGACAUAAUCUUAAUCAAGGCUUAUAACACUUGUCGAAUGUAGAGUAACAUGUUUCAUACUCUUAUACAUUUGAAAUUGGUAAGUUGUGAUAUUUUUGGAAAAAGACAAAGACCAACUAAGACCAAUUGUGUGAACUGUUAGUCUUGAUUAAAAUCCACACUCACUCUUGAAUAUUUGUUUUUCAAGUAAUCUUCCUUGACAAAGUGAAUCUUAUAUGUCAAGAGGUCUGUGGGAGUCUUAAAGAUCUUGAAGGUUUCAAGAACUAAUCAAGAGUAAACCUAUUGUUAAUCACUAGCACACGACUUGAGGUUUGUAACCUAUCAUAUUGACAUAUUAUUGGUUCUGUGCCCAUUCUAGUUAAAGUUGACUAUGCAUGUGAGUUCUAUGACUUCUCAGUUAUUUGCAUAACAACCUGCAAGCAUUGGUAGGACCUUGUGUUGCAAGGUGGCAAGAAAUUAAGAUUGAACAAGUUCGGUCCAUAUGAUUUUGGAUUUGUCACUAACCUUGUCUUGUGAUUAUGGUUAUGACAAAUUCACAUGGAUAGGAACACAUACACCAUUAAAUCUAAGUGUCAUAAGGUUUCUCUCCAAUUCAUGAAGAUGAUUGUAAGGAAAUGCUUUCACUAAGUAGAUUUUAAGGAGAUAGCAAUUGUGUUAUUUGCAUUCUCAAAUUCGAUUAUGAUUACAGAAUCCCUUUUCAUAAUUCAAAUUAUGAGGAAUGGCAAAAAGUCUAAACAUUUGAGACUUAUAGCUGUAAGUUCUUAAAUUGUUUAGACACACAUGUGACUUAUCUAAGAAAAGGUGUAUGAUUUUGAGCAGCCUAGAUAAAGUUUUAUCGAAGCAUCUCAUGUCAGAAUUCUGAACUUUGGUAAGAAAGUCAAUGAAGUAUUGAUUUCCAAAAGACCAACUAAUUUCUAUAUACAUGUCAAAGCUAGUGGGAUCAUAAGUUCUAUGUUAGGAAAAGUAAUGAUUAUUUUGCUAGUGGGAGCAUAAUCAAUUAUGGUGAAUGUUGCAUGUUAUCAUUGUUAAUUAUAGAAAACAAAAGUUUCAAUUCGCAAGUUGCAGGGUUUGAAAAGUUGUUUUGCUAUAAUUAAGGGAGAGGAAUUCAUACUUCAUUUCAAAUCUAAAAGCUUAGAUUGAGAUUUUAAUCAGAUUUAGUNUACCAUAAUAUAUAUAUAUAUAUAUAUAUAUAUUUGAAUGUUAUGUUGGAAUGACUCAACAUAAGGAAAUUCUAUAUAUGGAUGUGUUAAUUGCAUUGUCAAAAUUUGACUAUGAUUACAACAUCCCUUUUCAUAAUUCAAAUGAUGAGAACAUGGCAAGUAGAAAUAUUAUAGCAAAAGACUAGUCAAGUAUCAUGUCUUUCUGUAAGAGAUCAAGAAUCGUGUCCUAUAUGCUUCGGGUGUAGGAUCGAUUACAUGUGCUAUAAUAUUCAUCCGUUCUAAAUUUUCAAAAUUCCUUGGGCAUUAAGAGGGAAAACGGACUAGAACUGGAUAUGACUAAAGUGGUUAACAACUAUUAAGGACAGUCUAAGGUUCACUGAGGAUUUGUCGCUUGUAGUUGGAAGUAUAAAAUGAAAGGACCAUAUUGACGUAUUCUGAAAAGAGGCAACUCCUGUUCAGAAGUGAAGUCAAAAUGGGAAUAUGGAAAUGUUUCCAUAAGUGGAAUUUAUUCUUUAAAUCUAUGUAAGAUUAGGAAACUUAAUGUAAGAAGGAUGUUCAAAGGAAUGUACUUUAAAUUUGAGACUUCGCUUCCUUGGAAUUGCUUUGUUAUCAAUCUCCAGUGGAGAGUUUUGUAAUAUCGUUGGUCAAGUCUUUGUGACUUUUGGUACCAUGACAUCACAAAGGCUGCAUUACGUGAAAGUUUAGCAGUGACAAAAAUUUGGAAUUCUUAAGAUUGUAAUUAAGAUUUAGAAUUGUGAAAUGAUCGUCAUUGAAAUUUUUUCAAUUGAUCUAUUUCACAAAGUAAGGACCAUAGACAAACAUAGUGUGCAUGCUUGGAUCAUGGCAUAACUAUUGUUUAGACAAAUAUAGUGUGCAUGCUUGGAGCAUGACACAUCUAUUGUUUUAAUUCAAGUAUUUAGUUGAUUAUUCGAAACAUUAUACAAUGAAUAAUGAGUAAUCAAUAUGGCAUUCAAAAGUUUUGUGGCCAUACCGGAUUAGUAUUAUUCUUGUGUUUCAAUUUGCAUGUUUUGACUUCCCGAAUAACUAGGUUAUUCAAACCAUCCACAAUCGAUCAUACUUUGGAAGUAGGUAUUGAGGCAAGACUGUCGUAGUUUGUCUAGGACAUAAAUGUAGUGCUCAUGAGUGCUCCUGGAAUAAGAUUCAAGUAUUGGGUUCAACCCACGCUCAUCUGAAUCACUUCAUGGAUUUUAUCACGAGUGAUUGUGAGGCAAUAAUAUCUUAUAUUUUUGAAACCAAGACGUGUGAGUUGUAGUUGCAAGUCGGUUGCACAUUGACAUAUUUAAACACACCAAUAACUUGGUGUUAUAAAACUUAUCAUUGUGUGUGAUUUGAAUAGUAAGUACAAGGAAGCAUUUGAUUCGAAGUUUAUCCAUUCUUUUUACCCUUGGAGGGAUAAAAGCGAUAUCUUUAGUGAUGACACCCCUAAGUGCUUGGCCAAGCCUAGACUGAUUUGAUUUGUUCAGUUAGUCGGUCGUCAUAAAUCAGGAAUCGGGAAACAACAGAUGGAAAAAGAGAAUGAUCAUAAUCCAUGUCUCAGUCCAUAUGAUAUCUAGAAUAGAGGAAUAUAUGAUCCCUUAUCUAAUGGACACGUCGUUGACUCGGUCAGAGUUCGACAACGAGUUUUGAGAGAUACGAUUGUUAGUUGGAAUUUUGGAAUAUCCAAGUGGGAGAAUGUUGGAUUAGUGUAUAAGUCCCUAACUAAAAUUGGUAUGUACUUGACCCGCGAGUAGCAUGGUCCAUUUGGGUUGCAUAUCACCUGGACAAUUUGAUAGGAUGGACUUUUGAGAAGAGGUUAUUUAUGAUUUAUUAAUAUAUUAUAAGUUCUAAUAUAUUAAUAUAAAUCAUAUGAUUUAAUUAGUAUUGAUUAUGAACUAAUUUGGAAUUAAUUUUGUGAUCAAAAGAGACUAAUUAAAUAUAUGGGGAUUGAUUGUGUAAAUCAUUCAUUCUUAUAAAGUGGGCUUAUGAUCCACAACUCUUUAUGUCGGGCUAAACCCAUGUGGUGACCCAUGGAUACUCCAUGGAGGUUAAAACCCAUGAGCCUAAGGAAUAUGGAAAGUCAUGCACAUUAGGGUUUGCAUGGUGUAACCAUAUUUAUGCCACACUAUAUAAGAAACCCCUUGGUUGGUGAAAUUGGGGCUAGAGAGACUAGAGUGUUCUUGGAGAGCCAUAACCAAUUUGUGUACACCAUACUCUCUCAAAAUUUACCCUUUGUCCAAGGUGUGUUGUGAUUCCACUUGAGGCAUUCACAUUAUUGGUACUAAGUUCUUAAUGGCCAAAUACAACAAGGUUUCGAUCUACAACAAAAGGUGUGUCAUCCAACUAGAACUUUGUAGUAAAAAUACUCUAUUGUAUGAUAGUUAGGAUGAUGCUUUGGAAAAUUAAAUUUAGCAUGUAUAUUAGUGAAAAAAUAGAUCAAAAGCAUCUAGGGUUGCAUGUACACCAUGGAAGUGUUAGAAUUCUCAAAGCCGUUCAGUUUACGAGUUGGUGGUGCAUUGAUAAUGCGUAAACGCAUGAGUAACUUGAUGUUAUAAAACACAUUUUUGUGUACGAUUUGAUGAGUAAAUAGUACAAGCAUAUCAGUCGAAGUUUAUCUGUUGCUUUUAUCCCAUAAGGCUAAAAGCGAUAUCUUGGUCUCCUUGAUGAUUUUGUUUUGACGUAUGUGUCGGGCCCGGUCAGGACUGAAUUGAUGUAUUCAAUUAAGUUCUAUGUAAGACAAAUCAUAGAUCGAGAAACAAACGGCUGGAAAAUAAGUAUGACUAUGUUCCAUGUAAUUGUCCACACGAUAUCUUGAAAAUAGAGGACCAUACGAUCCCUUAUUUAAAGGACGUGUCAGAGUUCGAUAGCGGUUUUUGGGAGGUACAAUUGCUAAUCGGUUUUUGGAGCCGUACUUGCAUUUAUAGUUAUUAGAUUUAUCCAAGUGGGAGACUGUUGGAUUAGGUGUAUAAUCCAUAACUAUAUUUGGUAUGUACUUGACCCGGUUGUAGCAUGGUCCUUUUGGGUUGCCUUCACCAAAGAAACUUGACUGGAUGAAUAGUGGAGAAAGAGGUUAUUAUGGUUUGUUAAUAUAUUAUAUGAAUAAUAUAUUAAAAGAGAAAUCAUAUUAUUUAAUUAACGUUGGUCAAGAAUUAAUUUAGAAUUAAUUUUAGGGUCAAAAGAGGUUAAUUGAAUUAAAGGGACUGAUAUUGUAAUUAUGUGAUAAUUACAAUAUGGGCUGAGGAACCCUUUGGAAAGGGUUGGACGAAAUCUUAUGGGAGCCCAUAAGGAUUUCGUCGAAGGGGUGGAGUUCUGGAAGAUUCUUAUGGGUUGCUUAGAGCCUAAGCAACUGGAUGAGGUCUUUGAUUGAAACCCUAAUUCUUCAGCUAUAUAAGGACCCCUUUGGCAUCCCAAAACCAGCCAUUUGACCCCUAAGAAUCAUAGAGCCAUUUUUGAGCCUCCUUCCCCUCUCUCCAAGAUCAUGCAAUUGCUUUGGUGUUUAUGAUUCAUUAAAGGCAUCACAUUUGAUGUGUUAGGUUCUCAAAAGCUUAAGGAUCUUCAAGCAACAAUCAAAGGUAACUUUCUAACUUGUUUAUUAGAUGUUCAUUUCAAUUUUGUUGUAUGCUAGAUUAGGGUUUAAGACCUAUGGAUGAUUAUUGCAUGUACAAAUAGGAAAACCUAGAUCCAAAGCUUUAGGGUUUGCAUGUACACCAUAGGAUUGAUGUUUUGCUCAUAACCCAACAACCCUGACCUUAGGUCAAUCUUUGAUAAGUGGCUUGAUCCUUGGAGUUUAUCGAAAAAAUCGUAUGUUCGUAGUAGGGGGUAUCAGUUCUUAAUGGUAAGCUUGUUUUUUUUUGCGGUAAUCUAUGCACAUGCGGAAAGAUCCAUCCUUCUUCUUCACGAACAGGAUCGGUGCUACCCAGGGUGAGAAGCUUAGUUUGAUGAAUCCCUUGCUGAGCAGUCCGUGUAGUUGGUUGGAUAAUUCCUGCAUCUCUGCUGGUGCUAGAUGAUACGAGGAUUUGGCUACGGGGGUAGCUCCAGGAUUCAAGUCGAUUGAGAACUCGAUUUGGCGUUCAGGAGGAACUCCUGGAAGAUCUUUGGGAAAAAUGUCGGGAAAAUUACAGACUUCGGAAAUCCUAUCGAUGUCUUUUACUUCUUGCUUCUUAUUUACUACAUGUGCUAAGAAUGUGUGACACUCCUUGCAUAUGUAUUUUUGGGCUUUGACGCAAGAGAUGAUGCGAAGGUUCGUACCGUGUUUGUCGCCAGAAAUGACGAGGGUUUCGCGACUCGGUAGAUUAAGGCGAAUGGCCUUUUCGUAGCAUAGAAUAUCAACACGUUGAGGACCUAACCAAUCUAUGAUGAUGAUUAUGUCAAAGCUUUUUAUUAAGACCGACAUAAGGUCGAUUUGGAAAAAAUAGUCGUUUAGAGUGAGGGUACAACCUAUGUAUAUGCCGUUAGUGCUUUGUGUCUUCCCGUUUUCCAUAUCGACAGUGAAUGAUUCGUUUAUAGAUUGUCGUUUUUGUUUGAGUAGAUGUUUAAAUUAUGGCUCACGAAACUCCUCUCCGCACCACUAUCAAAGAGUAUGCAUGCAUAAGAGUUAUCAAGAAGGAACGUACCCGUGACCACUGUGGGAUCUGCUAUUUCUUCCUCCUGUCCUAUAGCUAGCACUCUUCCUACACCGCCAACAUUCUUUCCUUUCAGGAAAACCCUCUUCAAGAGUCUUGUUUCGCCACACCCAUAACAAGCUUGCCUUACUCCUCCGUCGGGGACCUCGGUGGUAGGUUGUGCCAGUGUCAUACAGAAACAGGUUGUGUGCCAUUUCCUGUUGCAGUUAUUGCAAUGCAUCUCCCGACAGGGUCCAUGAUGAUGGAAAUUGCACUUGUUGCACUUCGGAAGGUUUCCAACUUAUCGAUUAGGAGGUGCUAGAGCAGCAAGAACAACAAAAGGAACAGUAGCAGCAUGGACUGCCAUAGUUUGCUGCUUCUUUGAGGAAUCCUAUGAAAAUUGCCCAUUUCUUUUGUUCCAUAAUUUCUUUUUGUUACCACUUUCUUUGGGUUGUUCAGGGAUGGCUGUUAUGAAGUCUUGGCAAACUCCAUAAUCCAAGAGUGUCUAUGCUAGACACUUGGUACUAUUGAAAGUAAGUGGAUUUGCAGCUCUUAUGUUUCCUUGGAUAUGAGGAGAUAGUCCCCAGAUGUACCUUUCCACUUUCUUACUUUCCGGGGUUACCAUCUUGGGACAUAGAGUAGCCUGGUCAAUAAAUCUGGCAGUGUAAGCUGCAAUAUAAGAAUCCUUCAUCGUCAGGCCCCAGACCUCUUGCUCUAGCUUUCACACCUCACGCCCCGAGUAGUAUUCUGUUAGCAUUAGAUCCUUUAAGUCUUCCUAGCUCAUGAAAUUGGCUACUGGAGGUGUCAAUGACUUGACAUAGCCGUUCCACCAAGAGAGGGCUCUGUCCAUGAAAGUGCAUGCUGCAAAUUUUACUUUGCUAGCUUUAGGGCACUCACAUAUUUCAAAUACCGAUUCAGUCUUCUCGAACCAGUGUGUUAGAUUAAUGACACCUCUAGUUCUAUCAAAGGAUUUGGGUUUGGCAUUCGUGAAAUCUUUAUAGUAACACUCCCUUGGGUGUCCAUGACUAUCGCUGUGGUUAGAAGGGUUGGAACCACUACCCGCCUCACUAGCGCCACUUGUGUUGAUCUGCGUCAUGGCAGCUGCCACGGCGGCUAUUACUGCUACUUGGAAAAUUGCAGGGUCAUACUGUGGAGGUGGUGGCGGUGCUGGAAUUGAUGGCGCAUUGUUUUUGUUCCUGUUCGACUUUUUUGGGAGCAUCUUUCUCUAUAAUGAUUAAAGAGGAGGUGACGAUAAGUCCUCUAUAGUGGUCAUGAGUUAGGUGAUAUUGAACAAAAUAUAUCUUAGUUCUAAAUGCAUCAUAUCUUGACUGUUAUGGUGUUCUAUUAAACGAUUUACAAUAGAAGUCUACUUAAUAUAAGUAAACAAUUAAAAAUUUCCAUUUAUGAAAUUUAAAGCAACACUUGAAACGAAUUUGUAUAGUGUGACCCAUACUGGGUCCUCCUAUAAUCACAGAGUGUAUACAAAUUAUAUAUAACCAAGACCAAAUAGACCUUCGAAUAAGUUAUCCUACUCUAAGUCCACAACCAAACAAGGAACAGGAAGUAAAACUAAAUCACAAAUUCUAAGUAUAUAAAAUCUUAAUUAUAUAUAACCCUAACGUAUACACAUAAUAAUUAUAGAUAUACUAGAAAGUGUCCUUUGUUUUCACAUGAUUGAUUCCGAUAAAAAGGCCCUUAUCGACUAUUAGUUUAUAUAACUAUCGAAGCCUAGAUGUUGUUGUGCGAGUGUUGUAGUGCCGUAAAAUACUCCUAUAGUAUUUUAACUUUAUGUUUGGGUCUAGUGUUCUUUUGGUAUAUAGAGUUGGUAAGUUCUAGACUUGUUGCAACACCCUGGUCACUCCCAAACACAUGUUGGUCGUAUCUAAAAUAAAUAUAGUUGAUCAGGCUAUAUUUAUCCCAGAUAUGGCUACAUAACUCUCUAGGUUUAACCGUAGUGUCCAACUUAUCUAAAUACUUUUAUGUCGUUCCUAAUGUGAUACUGUUUCUAGUUUGUAUGCAUGUUCGUAUACUUCUUAUAAAAUACUUAUAUUUUAAAAGUAUACUUUUAGUCUGAGCGUUUCACCCCCAUUGUAUUUAUAGUUGUAUAUCUUGCAUGGCUUGAUAUACUUAGUUCACUAUAAAUAAUUCUCUGAUAGCAAUCUGUCACACCCCAAACCAGAACAUUAGAAAUGUUCGGGGGCGGAUGACGUCAUGUACAGUAUCACAACAAUUAAAUAAUAGUAAUCAAAGCAACAACCAUUGUAGUGAUAAUAUAAAGUUUACAUCAUGUUCGUAACAUUGUUUGUAUGAAACCAAAAGUAUAUAGCAAAAACUAUAAGACGUGUUGCUGUGAUGCUCCGUCUUCUCAAAACCUAUAUGUAUACAUGUCUACCGGUUCCCUAAGAAUAUAAGUGAUUUUGAAAGUGUAUCAACAUUUAAGUUGGUGAGUUCAUAAGCAUUCUUGUUUUAGAAAUCUGCCAUUAUUCCUUGAAAAUAUUAGUGUGUUCCUCCAGAAAAUCCAAUAUUUGCUUUUGUUAGUGAAAUGUAGCCUUAGGCCUUAAGACAUAAAUGUAUGUUUGUUAUUGUACUCUGAAAUAGUAUACUGUAUUAGGAAAAUAGUGUACUUUAUUGUAUUUGUAUGAAAACCCUUUAUAUGUAAGUGCCUGGAAUCCACCAGUUGUAUUGUUAAGUAGUGUAUUGUAAUGUAGUUCUAUUAUUAAAAUAAAACCGUUGAAGUUAUGUUUGUCCCGUAAACCAAAAUGAAAGUUAAUGCUUAUUGUGAGUUAUAUUAUAACCAUGCUAAAAUGACUAGUGGCCUACACGACGUUCUUCAGGCAUCAGAUUGUUAUGAUUUUUUUCACCCGAGGCCUGCCAGCCUAACUAUAGCUAACCAUGCUAAAAUGACUAGUCACCUGCAUAACGUUCUUCAUGCUAAUGCUUAUUGUGAGUGAUAUUAUAACCAUGAUAAAGUGACUAGUUGUCUGCACGACGUUCUUCAAGCGUCAGAAUGUUAUGACAUUUGUCACCCCAGGCCUGCCGACCUAACUAUAGCUAACAAUUUAGGUGUGGGAUUGUCAGUCCUGUAUAGAUCUAUACACAAAUUCACACUCUCCCUCUAGGAGACUCUGGUUAUAAUUCAGGAGUUUAGCGUGUAAUCUAAAAGGUACGAUGAAGUAGUGGCUCAUAAUCAUGUAUGAACUUGUUUACGUAUAGUGUGUAAAUGUUCUCUUGUUUUUGUAAAUGUAUGUAUUCCCUUUUUGUAGUAUACUCAUAGUAUAAAAUAAUUAUACUUAAAUAAUUAUUUUAGUAUUCUAUUUAUGAACUUAGUAAAAUAGUAUAAGUGUUCCAUAAAUUAUACCUAUUAUAAUUUAUCAAGUAUGUUCUUGUAUUGUUCCUUGAACUAGUAAAGUAAUAUGUAUGUUCCAUAAACUAUACCUAUUAUAGUUUAUAUGUAUGUUCUGUGUGUACUGAAAAUAUUUAUAGAAAUACCUCUUUGCUCGACAUGUUACAAAGCGGUUAAAGUUUACUAAAAUAAGUUUUAUACUCAUAUAUAUAUAUAUAUAUAUAUAUAUAUAUAUAUAUAUAUAUUCAUAUNUAUAUAUAUAUAUAAUUGAGAUUAAAAAGGCAGUCGGACAAGUAAUUUUACCCUAAGCCCACAACCAAACAAGGAACAAGAGUUAAGGAAAAAAAAUACUAGUCCUAAGCCUGUUGAAUCCUAUUUAUACAUAAAUAUAUACAUAAAUAUAUUUUGGUAAAAACGACAGUUGAAACAGUUGAAAAUAAUUUGGAAUUUUGAUUGAAACAACUUAAAAUAGUUUGAAACCAUUUGUAUGUUNNNNNNNNNNNNNNNNNNNNNNNNNNNNNNNNNNNNNNNNNNNNNNNNNNNNNNNNNNNNNNNNNNNNNNNNNNNNNNNNNNNNNNNNNNNNNNNNNNNNNNNNNNNNNNNNNNNNNNUCGCUUGCAUCCGAACCAAAUGCGAUGAUUCUCGGGUUAGGACUCAUGUGAAUAGUCGUUCUCGAAUAAUAAUUAUACCCGAUAUUGUAUUUAAAUUAGCAAAAUAAUAAUUUAAAUAAUAUUUUAAAUAGUGAAUUAAAGUGUUAGACAACACUAAAUUAUGUAAGAAAUACUUACAAAAAUUCUUGGAAAUUAUUUGAAGGUGUUCUUGUUGUUCUUGGAUGAAAUAUGAAUAUUUGAAGAUAUUCUUGGUGUUGUUGAGGAAAAUAAGGAGAUUUGAAGAUGGAAUGAAUGUUCUUGAUGACUUUAUGAAGAUUUUAAGGAAUCUGGGAAAAAUCCCUUGAAUAUAUGAUGAUUUCGUAUGAUAGUUGAGUGGAUUCUGGAUGAGUUUUGAGAGCAAAUUGAGGAUGAUUUCGGUGUAAAAAGUGAAUUAUGAGGAUUAUUUUCGGCUAUACAGANNNNNNNNNNNNNNNNNNNNNNNNNNNNNNNNNNNNNNNNNNNNNNNNNNNNNNNNNNNNNNNNNNNNNNNNNNNNNNNNNNNNNNNNNNNNNNNNNNNNNNNNNNNNNNNNNNNNNNNNNNNNNNNNNNNNNNNNNNNNNNNNNNNNNNNNNNNNNNNNNNNUAUAUAUAUAGAGAGAGAGAGAGAGAUGGAGUGAUUUCGGUCAUAUGUUGGGCCUUAGAAGGUGAUUUUAGUCUAAAAGUCAUCCAAAAGGGAGAUUUCGGUGCCAAUUGGUGGGACCUUACAAAUAGAUUUCGGUCCUAACCGAAAUCUGUUAUCGUUUCAAAGUGGGUGGGGCCAUGCGAGGGUUCUCGGUGGUGUUUUCGGUCCUUACUUGAUUCCUAAAGGGGUUUUCUUUCUAGUUAAAUGGGUUUGAUUCUAAGAAUCGAAAACAUAGUUUAUUGUAUAAUACAUCAUAUUUAUGCAUUAUAAUUUAAUAAUUGACAAUUAUUUAACAAAUUUAACUUUUGUUGACUUGCAUUAACUUUUAUAUACUUGAAAUAACGAGUUUUUAUAGUUUCGGCUAUGAUGCCCGUUUUUGAACCGGCAACGUAGGCCGUCCGUACAAGCCUUGUACGCUGUGUGUACCGCUGAUCAGAUGGAUAUUUGGCUUGAUGGACUUGGACUCUUAAGAAUGGGCUUCGGUUGGGUUGGGUUUUUUCUUUCGGCUAUAAAUUAUCUCAUUGGGCUCUAGUUGGACCUAAGGAUUUUUGAGUGGACCUUAGGUUUUGUUUGGGCCUCAGGUUGUGUAGAUUAUACUGCUAAUGGGCCUUGGGCCAAGUUUGAGUUGGGCCCAUUAAGGAAAGUGUAAAAUGGUCUUUUAUCCUGGGAGUUGGGACUUAUGAGUUGAGAACACGGUUAAUGGAUUCUAGCAUAAUUAUUAAUUGGGAUUUAUUUGUUUUGAUUCGGCAGUGCAAGCAAUCAUAUGUGUAUCAGCAGAUCGAGGUAUGUUUUCCUCACUAUACUUGCAGGUGGAAGGCAUAAAUGUCGGUCCAUUGGAUUGAUAUCCCGUUAUGCAUGUUACUAUGUUGUUAUGAUCUGUUAGAUCGCUAUCCUUGUAGAUAUGAUGUUAUUAUGUUGCUAUGAUCUGUUAGAUUGGUAUCCUGGUAGAUAGGAUGUUGCUAUGCUUAGUGAUCUGUAGAUCUGUUUGUUUGGCUGUAGACUGUCAUACAAUUUUCUUGUAAAUGUGCACUUGUUUGGUCAGUGGCUGAGGGUUCAUUGCUUGGUGCGUAAGCCAAUAGGACGGAGCAUUCCAACCCCAUGGUUGAAUGGGCCUGAGGGCAUUCCAUCCUGAGGAUGAUUGGACUCGUUGUAUAUUGGCAUUCCAACCUGAUGUUUGAUUGGGCAUGCGGCAUUUCAACUCGAUGGUUUAUUGGACCCGAUAUAAUUGAAUGAUAUGCGGUGAGAUUGGACUGCUUUGUGUAUCAGUCAAUAGGCUUGGUGUAUUCCAACCCGAUGGUUGACUGGAACCAUAAUGUGUUAGCAUUCCAACCCGAUGGUUGAGGUCCUGUGUUAUUCCAACCUAAUGGUUGACUGGAUCCAUAAUAUGUUGGCAUUCCAACCCGAUGGUUGAGGUCCCGGGGUAUUCCAACCUGAUGGUUGAUUAGACCCACAGUAUGAUGUUUGUGCUAUGUGUUAUUUGUUAUAUGUUGGUACUUUAGGGGAGCUCACAAAGCUUUGUGCUUACAAUUUUGUUUAUGGUUUCAGGUUCUUCAGAUGAUUCAUUACAAGGUGAAGGCAUAACCAUACACAUUCUUGGUUUUACAAUAGACUGGAUCUUGGGAGACUCUGAUUUUAAAUCAUGUUUUUUAGACAAUAUUUUUGUAAACACCUUUGUUAAUAGAUGGGUAGUUUUGAAAAGUUAGAUUUGCUGAAAUUUUUGGGAUGUUACAAGUUGGUAUCAGAGCCUUGGUUUGAGUGAAUUGGAGGAACACUCGUGUCAAUCCAAUCUCAAACUAAGGAAAAGGGUUUUAAAAAUAAUUUUCAAAGUAAAGGUUUUAAAAAUAACUUUCAAAGUUUUUUUUUU
rnacentral:lncRNA from 1 species